GAUGAACGCUGGCGGCGUGCCUAAUACAUGCAGGUCGAGCGAACGGACGAGAAGCUUGCUUUUCUGAUGUUAGCGGCGGACGGGUGAGUAACACGUGGAUAACCUACCUAUAAGACUGGGAUAACUUCGGGAAACCGGAGCUAAUACCGGAUAAUAUUUUGAACCGCAUGGUUCAAAAGUGAAAGACGGUCUUGCUGUCACUUAUAGAUGGAUCCGCGCUGCAUUAGCUAGUUGGUAAGGUAACGGCUUACCAAGGCAACGAUGCAUAGCCGACCUGAGAGGGUGAUCGGCCACACUGGAACUGAGACACGGUCCAGACUCCUACGGGAGGCAGCAGUAGAGAAUCUUCCGCAAUGGGCGAAAGCCUGACGGAGCAACGCCGCGUGAGUGAUGAAGGUCUUCGGAUCGUAAAACUCUGUUAUUAGGGAAGAACAUAUGUGUAAGUAACUGUGCACAUCUUGACGUUACCUAAUCAGAAAGCCACGGCUAACUACGUG
rnacentral:rRNA from 1 species